GUAUAAGAGACAGCAGCAGCCACGGUAAUACAGAGGGUGCGAGCGUUAAUCGGAUUUACUGGGCGUAAAGCGUGCGUAGGCGGCUUCUUAAGUCGGAUGUGAAAUCCCUGAGCUUAACUUAGGAAUUGCAUUCGAUACUGGGAAGCUAGAGUAUGGGAGAGGAUGGUAGAAUUCCAGGUGUAGCGGUGAAAUGCGUAGAGAUCUGGAGGAAUACCGAUGGCGAAGGCAGCCAUCUGGCCUAAUACUGACGCUGAGGUACGAAAGCAUGGGGAGCAAACAGGAUUAGAUACCCCCGUAGUCCCUGUCUCUUAUAC
rnacentral:rRNA from 1 species